rnacentral:rRNA from 1 species
AUGGUGCAGUAUUCUUGUAUUCCUUUGGCUGUGCCUGUUGAUGGAGAAGUUUACCAAGGUUCAUCGACAGUCACAAUCGAACACCUCACUGGUGAAACGAAGCCUCUUGAAAGGACGGUGGGGGAUGCUAUACCAGGUGGUGCUAGGAACCUGGAAGGAAUGAUGAUAGUGCAGGUGACCAAGUCAUGGGAGGAUUCCACACUCAACAGAAUUGUCCAGUUGACUGAAGAGGGCAUGAUAAACAAGCCAAAGCUGCAAAGAUGGCUAGACGAAUUUGGAGAGCACUAUAGCAGAGCUGUUGUUGUACUGUCUUUAAUGGUUGCACUACUGGGACCAUUACUCUUUAAGUGGCCUUUUUUCGGUAACUCAGUUUGUAGGGGUUCAAUUUACCGUGGAUUGGGGCUUAUGGUGGCUGCAUCUCCAUGUGCAUUGGCGGCUGCUCCCUUAGCAUAUGCCACUGCUAUCAGUUCUCUUACAAGGAAGGGAAUUUUGUUGAAAGGCGGGCAUGUCUUAGAUGCUCUUUCGGCUUCUCAGUCUAUUGCAUUUGACAAGACAGGCACAUUGACAACCGGGAAGCUUAUGUGCAAAGCAAUUGGGCCCAUUCAUGGACAUUUGAAUGUGAGAAAUGGUCUUAACGUUUCUUCUUGCUGUACUCCCAGCUGUGAAAGUGAAGCUCUAGCAGUUGCCGCAGCCAUGGAGAAAGGAUCAACCCAUCCUAUUGGGAGGGCAGUGUUACAUCACUCUGUUGGGAAGGACAAGGACCUUCCAAAAGUUGUUCUACAAAGCUUCGAGUCCUUACCUGGUAGAGGAGUUUUUGCUACUUUAAGCAUCACAAAGGCAUCAAACAAUGAAAACAAACUCUCUACGGCUGCUAUCGGUUCUGUGGAAUAUAUUUCUUCGCUAUACAGAUCAAAUGGUGAAUGUGAGCAGGUACAAGAGGCAAUAAAAAGUUCUGCAUAUGGUCCUGAAUUUGUCCAAGCUGCUCUAUUAAUGGAUAAAAAGAUGACCCUUUUCCACUUCGAGGAUGAACCCCGUCCUGGUGCCCGUGAAGUUAUAUCCGCCUUAAGAGAGAAAGCAAAACUUCGCAUCAUGAUGCUCACUGGAGAUCAUGAAUCAAGUGCUCUGAGAGUUGCUAAAGCUGUUUGUAUUGAUGAAGUGCACUGCUGUUUGAAGCCAGAGGACAAACUGAGUAAAGUAAAAGCAGUUUCAAGGGGAGGUGGGAGUUUAAUAAUGGUCGGCGAUGGUAUAAAUGAUGCGCCAGCUCUUGCAGCUACAACUGUUGGCGUCGUUCUAGCUCAACGUGCCAGUGCAACAGCAGUAGCUGCUGCAGAUGUUCUGUUAUUGCAGGAUAAUAUCUGCGGGGUGCCAUUUUGUAUUGCUAAAGCUCAUCAAACAACUUCACUGGUCACGCAAAGUGUAGGGCUUGCCCUAACUUGUAUCCUUCUUGCUGCGCUUUCUUCUGUCUUGGGAUUUCUUCCUCUUUGGUUGACGGUGCUUGUUCAUGAAGGAGGAACCCUUCUUGUCUGCUUGAACUCGAUACGAGCCCUCAAUGCCCCUACAUGGUCUCUGGCAGAUGAGAUCCGACAACUUGUUGAUGGCCUGAGGAAGUAUAUCUCGGCAAAGUUGAACAACUGCUCAAAUUAUGCAGCUAAUACUGCCCGUUGUAGAUUUGUAUAG